rnacentral:rRNA from 1 species
GACGAACGCUGGCGGCGUGCUUAACACAUGCAAGUCGAACGGAAAGGCCCUGCUUUUGUGGGGUGCUCGAGUGGCGAACGGGUGAGUAACACGUGAGUAACCUGCCCUUGACUUUGGGAUAACUUCAGGAAACUGGGGCUAAUACCGGAUAGGAGCUCCUGCUGCAUGGUGGGGGUUGGAAAGUUUCGGCGGUUGGGGAUGGACUCGCGGCUUAUCAGCUUGUUGGUGGGGUAGUGGCUUACCAAGGCUUUGACGGGUAGCCGGCCUGAGAGGGUGACCGGCCACAUUGGUACUGAGAUACGGCCCAGACUCCUACGGGAGGCAGUAGUGGGGAAUAUUGCACAAUGGGCGGAAGCCUGAUGCAGCAACGCCGCGUGCGGGAUGACGGCCUUCGGGUUGUAAACCGCUUUCGCCUGUGACGAAGCGUGAGUGACGGUAAUGGGUAAAGAAGCACCGGCUAACUACGUG